AUGCUCUGGUUUCUCUUCAGAACAAGCAAAUCUUUCGCCUUUUACUAAAGAUUUCCGUGGAGAGGAGCAUAACUGAGUUUUAUUUGAAUUUCUGAAUGCACCAUCUUAUUGGGGUU